CAGACAUUGUGAGUCCACUCUUAUAUAAAGGAGGUUUUCUCCUCAGUCUGCACCAGUCUCGUCUGAACACGGACCUGAUUUGUCUUCACCUGGUGAACUCUGAGCUCCUGCUGCGAUGGAUGCUGUGAUCAAACAAAUCUUCGACAAGUACGCUUGUGGCAACGACACCAUAAGCAAAGCAGAAUUCUCGAAAAUGAUAGACGAUAUGGUUCCUGACGCUGGGAUGAGAGCGCAAAUCGAGGACAGCGAGUGUUUCAAGGCGAUCGAUACGAGUGGAGACGGAGGGAUCAGCUUUGGGGAGUUUAAAGAGUUUUACUUGUUCAUGAUGAAAGUCCAACAGAUGAUGCAGUAGAACUCCUAUUCCUUUUAAGACUUAAAACAGAAGAGCGAGUGCAGAAGCUCUGAAAAACACUAAAUAUCCAACUGGCAAAUGUGACACUAACAACGAUGUACACUGAGUUUGUCAAGUGUUUUCUGUUUCAUCCUGGAAGAGAAUAAAUGCACGCUGCUACAUCCUG